rnacentral:rRNA from 1 species
AGGAUCAUUAACUGAAAUUUUGGGAAGGGGGGAUUAGCUGCUGGCUCUUUUGUGAGGGCAUCUGUGCACACCCCUUUCCCUUAAUCUCUCCUCUACACCUGUGCAACCUCCUGUGGGCUUGGGGAAACCUGGGCCUGCAUCUUGCUUCACACAACUGUAACUUAUUUACCAGUGAAUGUUUGUUGGCUCUGAGCCAUAAAAAUAAUCAAUACAACUUUCAACAACGGAUCUCUUGGCUCACGCAUCGAUGAAGAACGCAGCGAAAUGCGAUAAGUAGUGUGAAUUGCAGAAUUCAGUGAAUCAUCGAAUCUUUGAACGCAUCUUGCGCUCCUUGGUAUUCCGAGGAGCAUGCCUGUUUGAGUGUCAUGAAAUUCUCAACCCUCUGUCUCCCUUGUGGAGGUUUGGAAUGUGGGAGUGUGCCGUGUUUCUCGUCUAGAGGAAUAGAGGCUCUCCUGAAAUGCAUCAGUGAACCCUGCUCUUCUGCCCAUGGGUUGUUGAAGCUUUGGUUUGAUAGUCCUUUGUUUGUCUACACCCCAUUGCUACAACUUGAGUGCCCACAGAAAGUCUGGGUGUACUGCAGAUUGUUACCCCCUUCUUUUGACACUUUGACCUCAAAUCAGGUAGGACUACCCGCUGAACUUAA